rnacentral:ncRNA from 1 species
UGGGCACUCUAGGGAGACUGCCAGGGAUAACCUGGAGGAAGGCGGGGAUGACGUCAAAUCAUCAUGCCCCUUAUGAUCUGGGCUACACACGUGCUACAAUGGUGACUACAAAGGGAAGCAGCCUCGUGAGAGUGAGCAAAUCCCAAAAAGGUCAUCUCAGUUCGGAUUGUAGUCUGCAACUCGACUACAUGAAGCUGGAAUCGCUAGUAAUCGCGAAUCAGAAUGUCGCGGUGAAUACGUUCCCGGGUCUUGUACACACCGCCCGUCACACCAUGGGAGUUGGAAAUGCCCGAAGUCUGUGACCCAACCGUAAGGAGGGAGCAGCCGAAGGCAGGUUCAAUAACUGGGGUGAAGUCGUAACAAGGUAGCCGUAUCGGAAGGUGCGGCUGGAUCACCUCCUUU